CAUAAACUGUAUAAGUACACAAACAGCCAGGAUAUAAAAACCGCACUGAAUUGCAACAAACUGGGACCAAAUCUGCAAAACUGUACCCAGGAAGGGUAAAGUAUCAAUCUUUGCUUGUGUUCUGUAAAAUCCUGAUUAAUCUUAGAUGUAUAGUCUUUGAUUAAUAAAUUGAUUGAGCUUAAUUUGAUGUCUUGUUGAUCAGUGAUACAAAUCUAAUCCCUCUUACAAUUUUGUCCUACUUCAGGAAAUGUGUAGGAACUUUAUAUCUUACUUCUGCAAGAAGAGAGAGAGCUUGAACACUGUAUAUUGAGGGAGCAGAGGCGGACACCAUUGAAGAUGGUAUGAGUGAAGCAUCUGAAAAAAGACAAAAUGUUUGAUUUGCAUUUUGAAGCAGAACUUAUUGUGGCAAACCUGUAAGUUUCAGGAUUUGUUUGGUUUCCAUGUGGGUUAUACCUUGCAUAGUGAGUUGCAGUGAAGUACUGCUGGGAACCCUGCCAGCUCCUCAUACACAUGCCCACCCUUGAUCUUACAGGGAUUAUACAUUGUAUCAUUUUAAACUUCCUUAAAGCCUUAAACAUAGGCCAGUUUCCAAUAAACGGGUGUUAACAGAGCUAGCAUGUCUGCGGAUACAAGCUUCUAUCCUCAGAUCUUUAAGUUAUAGGAUUUGAAAAAGAAGAGUAAAUGAUCAAUUAUUGGGGACAGACAAUGCACUGUCGGUCACGUUACACAUGCCCAUUAUACAAGUAUCGAUGAUUUGAAAAUUCUGCAGCCUCUAUCUGAAUGCUUUACAUUUAGCAAAGACCUUAGGAAAAACGAAAAAUUUACUAGAAAACGCUUAUUCAGCAAUGUUCCUUAGUCAAAAAGAGGCAUAUUUUUCCCAGAUUAUUUGAAUGGAUUUAUACCCUCUGAACAAAGGGUAUAAAAGGCAACUUGUACUGACCUGUAACUCUCCAUUUCCUACUCUACUGCGAAUCAAGUGAAGGUCCAAACAGAAGGAAAGGAGGGCAGCUUGUGGACUACCCACAGGGACCACACAUCUCAAAGAACUUCAGUGAUUAUAAGGUAAGUAAUGCUCCUUUCUUCAAGUGCUGGUCCCUAUGGGUAUUCACAGUGGGUGAUUCCAAAGCAAUGCUCAUCAAGGCGGAGGAUGCAAGAAGUGUUCCGCACCACAGAUUGAGAGAUCACUGAACCAAAAGAAGUUUCCUUGAAAGAAGCCUGAACCAGGGCAUAAUGCCUAGUAAAAGGGAAAAAAGAAGAAGAAGUGAAUGCCUAAUCUGCUGCUCUACAGACCACCGAGAGGGGAAUUCCAGAAAGGAAGCCACCGAGGCAGCCUGAGCUCCAGGUGAGUGAGCCGUGACAGUCUGAAGAAGGGAUGCAGCCUGAAAUCCAUUGAGAGCGCCUUUGGGAAGACUGCUUCUUCCUUCAUACUUCUUGGCAAUGGAGAUUCACUCCGAUAAUUAUAUAGCAUGUGUGGGGGUUAAAACGGACUUUUCUGGAUUUUACUUGAAGUCCCAAGGAGUGAAAGUAGUGACUGCAGCCUGCACUUCCUGAUACGACCAUCCCAUGAGCAGCCAAUGCUCUAGGUAGGAACCUCCUGGGGUAUCUUGUUGAUGCAGGUUGUUACUGGAAUCACCAUGGGGAAACCCAAGGAUUGCAAGCAAGAAGCCUGGCUCAUAACUAUCAAGGUUGCCAUGGAACAGGAAGCCACGUCCUCUGCAUUGAGUGAUGCUUGAAUGGACAAUCUGGCAACCAGUUUCCCUUUGUCCAGAAUGGCCUGGAAUUGGGGCCCAUGUUCCUGUAGUAUCUUAUUAGCAAAUUACGACAGUAUAUUGUAAUUAAUAAAGUCAUAUUUGGACAUUAAUUCCUGGUAAUUUGCUAUUUGCAGUUUCAGUUCAAAUGCUCUGUGUAAAUCAAAUGCUCUGUAUAAAUCAAUCCUGUUUUGUGUGUGAAUGAGGAAUGUGUGUGUUAGAAGAUAAGUGUGAAGGCCAUCACUGGACCAGAUGGUCUAGGGAGGAACCGAGAACAGACGUAAGGGCGCCAGGAGAUUGCAACAUGUCCCUAUUGAAAUGUCAGAGGAGGACAGAUUGACCACUCUAAAAAUGAGACAGGCAUCUAUCAAAGGGGACAAGAUAGCUGUAAUCAAAACCAGCAUGGGAUAACUCCCUGAGAGACUUAAUGAAAGAACAAGAUAAAGAAUGAGAAGGACAAUUUAAGAAAACAAGCACUCAUCAAACAACGAUUGAGUACAGCAUGAUGGUGCAAAAUUCAUUGGUCCCAAUGAAGGAAAAUCACUAUAUAAAC